rnacentral:misc_RNA from 1 species
AGAGGAAGAGGAAGAGGAAGAAGAGAAUGAAGAAGUGAAGAAGGCUCAUGGUGGUGUGCACUCCACUGAGAUGAUCAAUACGAAUGGUGCGCAGCCGAGCAGAGAGCAGCACAAUGAGGGGGCAAUUAUAUCCCAAGAAGAGAAGGAAGACAUGAUGAAUCAAUUUACCUACAUCAUGCACCAAAAAUUUCUUUCUGGGGAAGAUCAUCAACACUUGGAUUACUCAAAAAUAGAUGAUGAUGAGACCUUGGAUGAUCACUGGCUUAGGGAAGCCAGCCAUGAUGCAGAAGAUAAGUAUUUUGCUGAAGAUGAUUAGGAUGAUCAGGUGCAGCUGCCUUGACUCUGUUUCAAACCCUUUGUACAAUUUAGAUUUUGUUUCUGUAGAUUUGCUUUUGUAGAUAUGCACCUUGUCCUUCCCUUUUGAGUAAAUGAUAUAAUCUGUGUCAUGUUAUAACCGUGUGUGGUUUCUAAUAGCUUAGCAGAGCAUUUAGCAGGAAUGGAGAUUUGAAAUCCAUAGUGUGAUGGCGUGGAUUAGCUAAAGCUAAAUGAUAGUCCGUCUCCAUAUUGCAGGGCAGAACUCUAUUGAAAAACUUUUGCAUUCUUGUUUAAAAAUUUCUUAAAACUAGGAAUCACCUAUGUUUAUGACACCCAUAUCAACUUAAAUUUGGAAAACAGGUUCAUCCGAGUCUACGUUCAGAUUAGUGUUGUCCUGAAAAAGUAUAGCUGGGUACUAGUGUUUUUCUGCUGUGUUUCAGAUAACACUCAUUACUUUUA